AGGAUGAACGCUAGCGACAGGCUUAACACAUGCAAGUCGAGGGGCAGCACAGGUAGCAAUACCGGGUGGCGACCGGCGCACGGGUGAGUAACGCGUAUGCAACUUACCUAUCAGAGGGGGAUAACCCGGCGAAAGUCGGACUAAUACCGCAUGAAGCAGGGGCCCCGCAUGGGGAUAUUUGCUAAAGAUUUAUCGCUGAUAGAUAGGCAUGCGUUCCAUUAGGCAGUUGGCGGGGUAACGGCCCACCAAACCGACGAUGGAUAGGGGUUCUGAGAGGAAGGUCCCCCACAUUGGUACUGAGACACGGACCAAACUCCUACGGGAGGCAGCAGUGAGGAAUAUUGGUCAAUGGGCGCGAGCCUGAACCAGCCAAGUCGCGUGAGGGAUGAAGGUUCUAUGGAUCGUAAACCUCUUUUAUAAGGGAAUAAAGUGCGGGACGUGUCCCGUUUUGUAUGUACCUUAUGAAUAAGGAUCGGCUAACUCCGUGCCAGCAGCCGCGGUAAUACGGAGGAUCCGAGCGUUAUCCGGAUUUAUUGGGUUUAAAGGGUGCGUAGGCGGCCUUUUAAGUCAGCGGUGAAAGUCUGUGGCUCAACCAUAGAAUUGCCGUUGAAACUGGGGGGCUUGAGUAUGUUUGAGGCAGGCGGAAUGCGUGGUGUAGCGGUGAAAUGCUUAGAUAUCACGCAGAACCCCGAUUGCGAAGGCAGCCUGCCAAGCCAUGACUGACGCUGAUGCACGAAAGCGUGGGGAUCAAACAGGAUUAGAUACCCUGGUAGUCCACGCAGUAAACGAUGAUCACUAGCUGUUUGCGAUACAGUGUAAGCGGCACAGCGAAAGCGUUAAGUGAUCCACCUGGGGAGUACGCCGGCAACGGUGAAACUCAAAGGAAUUGACGGGGGCCCGCACAAGCGGAGGAACAUGUGGUUUAAUUCGAUGAUACGCGAGGAACCUUACCCGGGUUUGAACGCAUUCGGACCGAGGUGGAAACACCUUUUCUAGCAAUAGCCGUUUGCGAGGUGCUGCAUGGUUGUCGUCAGCUCGUGCCGUGAGGUGUCGGCUUAAGUGCCAUAACGAGCGCAACCCUUGCCACUAGUUACUAACAGGUAAAGCUGAGGACUCUGGUGGGACUGCCAGCGUAAGCUGCGAGGAAGGCGGGGAUGACGUCAAAUCAGCACGGCCCUUACAUCCGGGGCGACACACGUGUUACAAUGGCGUGGACAAAGGGAUGCCACCUGGCGACAGGGAGCGAAUCCCCAAACCACGUCUCAGUUCGGAUCGGAGUCUGCAACCCGACUCCGUGAAGCUGGAUUCGCUAGUAAUCGCGCAUCAGCCAUGGCGCGGUGAAUACGUUCCCGGGCCUUGUACACACCGCCCGUCAAGCCAUGGGAGCCGGGGGUACCUGAAGUCCGUAACCGCGAGGAUCGGCCUAGGGUAAAACUGGU
rnacentral:rRNA from 1 species